AACGAACGCUGGCGGCAGGCUUAACACAUGCAAGUCGAACGCAUCCUUCGGGGUGAGUGGCAGACGGGUGAGUAACGCGUGGGAACGUGCCCUUCAGUUCGGGAUAACCCAGGGAAACUUGGGCUAAUACCGGAUACGUGCGAGAGCAGAAAGAUUUAUCGCUGAAGGAUCGGCCCGCGUCUGAUUAGCUAGUUGGUGGGGUAAUGGCCCACCAAGGCGACGAUCAGUAGCUGGUCUGAGAGGAUGAUCAGCCACAAUGGGACUGAGACACGGCCCAAACUCCUACGGGAGGCAGCAGUGGGGAAUAUUGGACAAUGGGCGCGAGCCUGAUCCAGCCAUGCCGCGUGAGUGAUGAAGGCCUUAGGGUUGUAAAGCUCUUUCGUCCGGGACGAUAAUGACGGUACCGGAAGAAGAAGCCCCGGCUAACUUCGUGCCAGCAGCCGCCGUAA
rnacentral:rRNA from 1 species